rnacentral:rRNA from 1 species
UGGGGAAUAUUGCACAAUGGGCGAAAGCCUGAUGCAGCGACGCCGCGUGAGGGAUGACGGCCUUCGGGUUGUAAACCUCUUUCAGUAGGGACGAAGCGCAAGUGACGGUACCUGCAGAAGAAGCACCGGCUAACUACGUGCCAGCAGCCGCGGUAAUACGUAGGGUGCGAGCGUUGUCCGGAAUUACUGGGCGUAAAGAGCUCGUAGGCGGUUUGUCACGUCGUCUGUGAAAUCCUAGGGCUUAACCCUGGACGUGCAGGCGAUACGGGCUGACUUGAGUACUACAGGGGAGACUGGAAUUUCUGGUGUAGCGGUGGAAUGCACAGAUAUCAGGAAGAACACCGAAGGCGAAGGCAGGUCUCUGGGUAGUAACUGACGCUGAGGAGCGAAAGCAUGGGUAGCGAACAGG